rnacentral:tRNA from 1 species
GCCCGGCUGGCUCAGUUGGCGGGGCACGCGCCUCUUGAUCGUGAGUUCGUGAGUUCGAGCCCCAUGUUGGGUG